CCUACGGGUGGCAGCAGUGGGGAAUAUUGGACAAUGGGGGGAACCCUGAUCCAGCGACGCCGCGUGAGUGAAGAAGUAUUUCGGUAUGUAAAGCUCUAUCAGCAGGGAAGAAAAUGACGGUACCUGACUAAGAAGCCCCGGCUAACUACGUGCCAGCAGCCGCGGUAAUACGUAGGGGGCAAGCGUUAUCCGGAUUUAAUGGGGGUAAAGGGAGCGUAGACGGUGCAGCAAGUCUGAUGUGAAAGGUCGGGGCCCAACCCCGGGACUGCAUUGGAAACUGUUGAACUGGAGUACAGGAGGGGUAAGUGGAAUUCCUGGUGUAGCGGUGGAAUGCGUAGAUAUUAGGAGGAACAUCAGGGGCGAAGGCGACUUACUGGACUGUAACUGACACUGAGGCACGAAAGCGUGGGGAGCAAACAGGAUUAGAUACCCGAGUAGUC
rnacentral:rRNA from 1 species